UUUGAGGUUGAUGUAAUACUUAAGGGUGUUUGAGGGUGAUGUAAUCCUUACGGGUGUUUGAGGUUGAUGUAAUACUUACAGGUGUUUGAGGUUGAUGUAAUACUUACAGGUGUUUGAGGUUGAUGUAAUACUUACGGGUGUUUGAGGUUGAUGUAAUACUUACAGGUGUUUGAGGUUGAUGUAAUACUUACAGGUGUUUGAGGUUGAUGUAAUACUUACAAGUGUUUGAGGGUGAUGUAAUACUUACAGGUGUUUGAGGUUGAUGUAAUACUUACAGGUGUUUGAGGUUGAUGUAAUAAUUACGGGUAUUUGAGGUUGAUGUAGCGGUCAGGGUUUAAUACUUACAGGUGUUUGAGGUUGAUGUAAUACUUAGGGGUGUUUGAGGUUGACGUAAUACUUAGGGGUGUUUGAGGUUGAUGUGAUACUAAGGGGUGUUUGAGGUUGAUGUAAUACUUAAGGGUGUUUGAGGUUGAUGUAAUACUUACGGGUGUUUGAGGUUGAUGUAAUACUUACGGGUGUUUGAGGUUGAUGUAAUACUUAAGGGUGUUUGAGGUUGAUGUAAUACUUAGGGGUGUUUGAGGUUGAUGUAAUACUUACGGAUGUUUGAGGUUGAUGUAAAACUUAGGGGUGUUUGAGUUUGAUGUAAUACUUAUGGGUGUUUGAGGUUGAUGUAAUACUUACGGGUGUUUGAGGUUGAUGUAGCGGUCAGGUAUUAGUCCCUCCUUCCCCUG